GGGGCCGAGCGCGGGGGGGAGCGGGGCCGGGAGCCGGCGACAGAGAGAGAGAGAGGAGGGGUUAAAUCCUCCCCCCCACCCCCCCCCCCCAACCCCGCUUCUACAAUCACAUCUGCCAGCCAGAUCGCCCCCCUCCCCCUCGAGGAAACACCACCAAGGGACCCCACGGAGGACCGCGCCCCCCCCGCGCCCCCUCCUCCGCGGCCACCCCCGGCCCCCCCGCCCCCCCACGCCUCCUCCUCCUCCUCCUCCCCCCCGCCGCCCCCGCCCCAACUUUUUUUCUUGCAUGAUUUCCCUCGCACGGAUUUGCCACUCGGAUGUUGUUUCCUCGGGAGCUGAGCUCGGAGCCACGUUGAACCAGCCUUUUCCUCCAGUGCUAUGACAGGCAAACUACUGGAGAAGCUGCCGGGGACCAUGAACACUUUGAUGAACCAAUUGCCUGACAAUCUGUACCCAGAGGAGAUCCCCAACUCUUUGAAUAUCUUCUCCAGCACCAGCGACUCGGUGGCUCACUACAACCAGAUGGCUGCAGAUAAUGUUAUGGACAUUGGCUUAGCGAACGAAAAGGCCGGUCAGGAAUUGUCCUCCUACUCGGGCACUUUUCAACCCGCCCCGGGCAACAAGACUGUCACCUACCUGGGGAAAUUCGCUUUCGACUCGCCCUCCAACUGGUGCCAGGACAACAUCAUCAGCCUGAUGAGCGCCGGCAUCCUGGGGGUGCCGCCGUCCUCGGGCGCGCUCACCAGCACGCAGAGCUCGGCGGGCAGCAUGGGGCCGCCGCAGGGCGAGGUGGACCAGAUGUACCCCGCGCUGCCGCCCUACUCCUCCUGCAGUGACCUCUACCCAGAGCCCGUCUCCUUCCACGACCCCCAGAGCAACCCCGGCCUCACCUACUCCCCCCAGGAUUACCAGGCGGCCAAGCCCGCCUUGGACAGCAACCUCUUCCCCAUGAUCCCAGACUAUAACCUCUACCACCACCCCAACGACAUGGGCACCAUCACGGAGCACAAACCCUUCCAGAGCUUGGACCCCAUCCGCGUCAACCCGCCCCCCAUCACCCCGCUGGAGACCAUCAAGGCCUUCAAGGACAAGCAGAUCCACCCGGGUUUCGGGGGGCUGCCGCAGCCGCCCCUCACCCUCAAGCCCAUCCGACCCCGCAAGUACCCCAACCGGCCCAGCAAGACGCCGCUCCACGAGCGGCCCCACGCCUGCCCCGCCGAGGGCUGCGACCGCCGCUUCUCCCGCUCCGACGAGCUCACCCGCCACCUCCGCAUCCACACGGGCCACAAGCCCUUCCAGUGCCGCAUCUGCAUGCGGAGCUUCAGCCGCAGCGACCACCUCACCACCCACAUCCGCACCCACACCGGCGAGAAGCCCUUCGCCUGCGAGUUCUGCGGCCGCAAGUUCGCCCGCUCCGACGAGCGCAAGCGGCACGCCAAGAUCCACCUCAAGCAGAAGGAGAAGAAGGCCGAGAAGGGCUCGGGCGGGCAGCCCCCCGCCGCGCCCCCCACCGCCGCCGCCGCCACCACCUCGCCCCCCGUCGCCCUCGCCCCCGCCGUCACCACGUGCGCUUGAGGGACCGUGGGGGGCGGCGCGGUGGCACCCCCUUCUCCUCCCCUUGCCCUCUCGGCGCCGCUCCGGGGGGAACCCCCGCGGUGUUCAGGAUACCCCGGGGUUGUGCUGCGACGGGUCCGCGCCCGGAUUGAGCGGGUCCAGGCUGCCCGCACCCGGAUCCUGCCUGCACUUGGAUCGACGGGACCCGCACUGCCCGCACCCGGAUUGCCCGGACUUGCGCUGCCCGCGCCGGGGCUGCCCGCACCACCUGGAUCCCGGCUGCCUGCUCCCGCACCUCCCAGAUCCCGGCUGCUUCCACCCGCACCGCCCGGGGCCGGGGCCGCCCGCACUGCCUGGAUCCCGGCCUCCUGCUCCCGCAGCUCCCGGAUCCCGGCUGCUCACACCCGCACUGCCCGGGGCUGGGCUGCCCACACACGGCUCACCCGGAUCCCUGCUGCCCGCACCCUCUUCCCGGAUCCCUGCUCCCACACCUGGAUUACCUGAACCUCCUGGAUCCCGGCUGGAUUGCCCAGUCCUGGCUCUCCCAGCUCCAGCUCUCCCACACCCCACCACCCGCACCCUGCUCCUCCCGGGGACAUCCCGCCCGCACCCUCCCGGCCCGGCUCCGGGCUGCCCGGGCGGUGAAUCCCGGGAAUCCCCGCUAACCCACAUCCCAGGGCUCGGUUCCGAGCCGCCCGCUCCCCCCGGGGGCUGGGUGCUCCAGGAUCGGCCCCCCCACCACCUCCUCCCUGGUCCCGACCCGCCCGGCUCCUCCGGGGGCUGGGGACUCCAGGAUCCGUGUGGGGAUGGAUGGAUGGACGGACGGACGGAUGGACGGAAGGAUGGAUGGAAGGAGCCGAUCCCUCACCGGGCCUGGAGCCCCCGUUGUCCCCCCCAUCCCCGUGUCCCCCCCGUGCCCCCCAAGCACCGGCUCCCCGUGGUGGAGAAGGGAAAUUCUUUACAGAAAUGCAGAAAAAAAGCACCCCAGUAUUUUGCUGAAUACUUUUUAUAAUGUGAGAUAUUUUUAUUUUAUUUUAUUUGGUCACUUUAAAACAACCACCCAACUACGGAGGAGAAAAAUCAAUUAGUCCUCUAUUUUAUUUUUUUUUCUUUUUUUUCUUUCUCCUUCUGGUAUGUGCAUGUCAUUGCAUGACUGCUCUGAUUUUUUUCUUCUUUUGUUUUAAUAAAACUGUGCUCAGACAUUUAAGCUAAACUAAGCAAAAAUAAUAAUGACUUAAAAAGAAAAAAAAAUCUUUGUUGCCAAAAGGUCGUGCUAUCCAGGUUUGAUGUCUGCAUGUGAAAAAAAAAAACUACAAAAAAACACAUUAAAAACAUACAAAAAAUAAAGAGAAGAGGAAGAAUGCAGUCUAAUUUAUGUGAACUGAAAGGAACAAAAAAAAAAAAAACAAAAAACAAACAAACCACAAUCAGGUUUAACCACACAAACCUAAGGGAAUGAUAUUUUUUGAAAGACUUUUGUAUAAAGUUGAGUACUUAGAGAAAAAAAAAUCAUACCAGAUGUAAUAUAUUUUGUGGAUGUUUUUAUUUCUUGGAUUUAUAGUACCUUAUACUAAGGUUAAAAAAAAAAAUUAUGCUUGAUAUUGUGAAAAGGUGACAAUUUUCACACACAUUUCAUUUGCUCAUUUGUCAUGUUGUAAUGCAAAUAUGAUAGUUAAUGCAUACAGCAUUUUUAAGGGAAAAAAUCAGAAAUAUUGAACUGAUGUAUUGUUGUACCAUUUGCACUGUGAGCAAAUGCUAAUGCAGUAAAUAUAUUGUGUUUGCUGACAAUCAAAA